AUCAAUAAGCGGAGGAAAAGAAACUAACAAGGAUUCCCCUAGUAACUGCGAGUGAAGCGGGAAAAGCUCAAAUUUAAAAUCUGGCAGUCUUCGAUUGUCCGAGUUGUAAUCUGGAGAAGCGUCUUCCGCGCUGGACCGUGUACAAGUCUCCUGGAACGGAGCGUCAUAGAGGGUGAGAAUCCCGUCUUUGACACGGACUACCAGUGCUUUGUGAUGCGCUCUCAAAGAGUCGAGUUGUUUGGGAAUGCAGCUCAAAAUGGGUGGUAAAUUCCAUCUAAAGCUAAAUAUUGGCGAGAGACCGAUAGCGAACAAGUACCGUGAGGGAAAGAUGAAAAGCACUUUGGAAAGAGAGUUAAACAGUACGUGAAAUUGCUGAAAGGGAAACGCUUGAAGUCAGUCGCGUUUGCUAGAACUCAGCCUGGCUUUUGCUUGGUGCAUUUUCUAGUUAACGGGCCAGCAUCAGUUUUGGCUGCGGGAUAAAGGUCAGGGGAAUGUGGCAACUUCGGUUGUGUUAUAGCCCUUGGUCAUAUACCGUGGCUGGGACUGAGGAUCUCAGCACGCCUUACGGCGGGGCUUCGGCCACCUUCGUGCUUAGGAUGCUGGCGUAAUGGCUUUAAACGACCCGUCUUG
rnacentral:rRNA from 1 species